AAAUUGAAGAGUUUGAUCAUGGCUCAGAUUGAACGCUGGCGGCAGGCCUAACACAUGCAAGUCGAACGGUAACAGGAAGAAGCUUGCUUCUUUGCUGACGAGUGGCGGACGGGUGAGUAAUGUCUGGGAAACUGCCUGGUGGAGGGGGAUAACUACUGGAAACGGUAGCUAAUACCGCAUAACGUCGCAAGACCAAAGAGGGGGACCUUCGGGCCUCUUGCCAUCGGAUGUGCCCAGAUGGGAUUAGCUUGUUGGUGGGGUAACGGCUCACCAAGGCGACGAUCCCUAGCUGGUCUGAGAGGAUGACCAGCCA
rnacentral:rRNA from 1 species